UACUGUGAUGAAUGUUGAUGUGUAUCUCUGCUGCCAUCACUCGCCUCUCUUCACAGCACAGUAGCCCACGCACAAACACUCUCUCUCCUUCCCGCUUUUCCUUUCCCCACCUCGCCACUUUCUUCCCUCUCCCCUGCCAUCGCCCCGGCCCGACCCCCCGCUUUUUUGCCCACCUACCGGCAGCGGCAGCGGCAGAGGCCGCACCCCCGUAACAAAAAGCACCCGGACCUCCCUUCCUCCCCCCACCGAAGCACCACCACCACCGCCGCUCCAUUGAUAGAUAGGGGAGCAGGGGGGAAGAAGCGGGAGGGGCAGCCGCAUUACCAAACUGGGAGACGC
rnacentral:lncRNA from 1 species